GGGAUAUAGCUCAGCUGGGAGAGCACCUGCCUUGCAAGCAGGGGGUCACGAGUUCGAAUCUCGUUAUCUCC
rnacentral:tRNA from 1 species